AUUGAACGCUGGCGGCAGGCCUAACACAUGCAAGUCGAACGGUAGCACAGAGAGCUUGCUCUCGGGUGACGAGUGGCGGACGGGUGAGUAAUGUCUGGGAAACUGCCCGAUGGAGGGGGAUAACUACUGGAAACGGUAGCUAAUACCGCAUAACGUCGCAAGACCAAAGAGGGGGACCUUCGGGCCUCUUGCCAUCGGAUGUGCCCAGAUGGGAUUAGCUUGUAGGUGAGGUAACGGCUCACCUAGGCGACGAUCCCUAGCUGGUCUGAGAGGAUGACCAGCCACACUGGAACUGAGACACGGUCCAGACUCCUACGGGAGGCAGCAGUGGGGAAUAUUGCACAAUGGGCGCAAGCCUGAUGCAGCCAUGCCGCGUGUAUGAAGAAGGCCUUCGGGUUGUAAAGUACUUUCAGCGGGGAGGAAGGGAGUGAGGUUAAUAACCUCAUUCAUUGACGUUACCCGCAGAAGAAGCACCGGCUAACUCCGUGCCAGCAGCCGCGGUAAUACGGAGGGUGCGAGCGUUAAUCGGAAUUACUGGGCGUAAAGCGCACGCAGGCGGUCUGUCAAGUCGGAUGUGAAAUCCCCGGGCUCAACCUGGGAACUGCAUUCGAAACUGGCAGGCUGGAGUCUUGUAGAGGGGGGUAGAAUUCCAGGUGUAGCGGUGAAAUGCGUAAAGAUCUGGAGGAAUACCGGUGGCGAAGGCGGCCCCCUGGACAAAGACUGACGCUCAGGUGCGAAAGCGUGGGGAGCAAACAGGAUUAGAUAUCCUGGUAGUCCACGCUGUAAACGAUGUCGACUUGGAGGUUGCUCCCUUGAGGAGUGGCUUCCGGAGCUAACGCGUUAAGUCGACCGCCUGGGAAGUACGGCCGCAAGGUUAAAACUCAAAUGAAUUGACGGGGGCCCGCACAAGCGGUGGAGCAUGUGGUUUAAUUCGAUGCAACGCGAAGAACCUUACCUACUCUUGACAUCCAGAGAACUUAGCAGAGAUGCUUUGGUGCCUUCGGGAACUCUGAGACAGGUGCUGCAUGGCUGUCGUCAGCUCGUGUUGUGAAAUGUUGGGUUAAGUCCCGCAACGAGCGCAACCCUUAUCCUUUGUUGCCAGCGAUUCGGUCGGGAACUCAAAGGAGACUGCCAGUGAUAAACUGGAGGAAGGUGGGGAUGACGUCAAGUCAUCAUGGCCCUUACGAGUAGGGCUACACACGUGCUACAAUGGCAUAUACAAAGAGAAGCGACCUCGCGAGAGCAAGCGGACCUCAUAAAGUAUGUCGUAGUCCGGAUUGGAGUCUGCAACUCGACUCCAUGAAGUCGGAAUCGCUAGUAAUCGUGGAUCAGAAUGCCACGGUGAAUACGUUCCCGGGCCU
rnacentral:rRNA from 1 species